GUUGUUCGGAAUUACUGGGCGUAAAGGGCUCGUAGGCGGCCAACUAAGUCAGACGUGAAAUCCCUCGGCUUAACCGGGGAACUGCAUCUGAUACUGGAUGGCUUGAGUUCGGGAGAGGGAUGCGGAAUUCCAGGUGUAGCGGUGAAAUGCGUAGAUAUCUGGAGGAACACCGGUGGCGAAGGCGGCAUCCUGGACCGACACUGACGCUGAGGAGCGAAAGCCAGGGGAGCAAACGGG
rnacentral:rRNA from 1 species